rnacentral:rRNA from 1 species
AGUAGUAUGGGGAUCUGCCCGAUAGAGGGGGAUAACUACUGGAAACGGUGGCUAAUACCGCAUAAUGUCUACGGACCAAAGCAGGGGCUCUUCGGACCUUGCACUAUCGGAUGAACCCAUAUGGGAUUAGCUAGUAGGUGGGGUAAAGGCUCACCUAGGCGACGAUCUCUAGCUGGUCUGAGAGGAUGAUCAGCCACACUGGGACUGAGACACGGCCCAG